CCUGGCCUCACAUCUGUAUGUGCUUUUAUCAACUCUGACAGGCUGAGGAGUAAUCUGGGGAGAAGGUACAUCUAGUUGAGGAGUAGUCUGGGGUGAAGGUAACUCUGGCUGAGGAGUAGUCUGGGGAGAAGGUAACUCUUGCUGGGGAGUAGUCUGGGGUGAAGGUAACUCUGGCUGAGGAGUAGUCUGGGGUGAAGGUAACUCUGGCUGAGGAGUAGUCUGGGGUGAAAGUAACUCUGGCUGAGGAGUAGUCUGGGGUGAAGGUAACUCUUGCUGAGGAGUAGUCUGGGGUGAAGGUAACUCUGUCUAGGGAGUAGUCUGGGGAGAAGGUAACUCUGGCUGGGGAGUAGUCUGGGGUGAAGGUAACUCUGGCUGGGGAGUAGUCUGGGGUGAAGGUAACUGGCUGGGGAGUAGUCUGGGGAGAAGGUAACUCUGGCUGGGGAGUAAUCUGGGGUGAAGGUAACUUUGGCUGAGUAGUCUGGGGAGAAAGUAACUCUGGCUGGGGAGUAGUCUGGGGAGAAGGUAACUCUGGCUGGGGAGUAAUCUGGGGAGUAGUCUGGGGAGAAGGUAACUCUGGCUGGGGAGUAGUCUGGGGAGAAGGCGGAAGCAUAUACAGACCAGGCUAUGACAUCUUGGGGAUCGGUCACAAACUAGGAAACUAUUUUCUUCUAAUCAGGGCCUAACUAUUAUGGAUAUUAGUCCUUCUAUACUGGGGAUGUGAAGGGUGGAGGGUACUACUGCACUACUCUGAAGAUCUGUAUUUCAGUUUGGCCUAUAUACAGUGGGG
ensembl:lncRNA